AAGUCGAGCGGUAACAGGAAGAAGCUUGCUUCUUUGCUGACGAGCGGCGGACGGGUGAGUAAUACUUGGGAACUUGCCUUUAAGAGGGGGAUAACCGCUGGAAACGGUGGCUAAUACCGCAUAAUGUCUACGGACCAAAGCAGGGGCUCUUCCGACCUUGCACCUAAAGAUAGGCCCAAACGAGAUUAUCUAGUUGGUGGGGUAAAGGCCCACCAAGGCGACAAUCUCUAGCUGUUCUGAGAGGAUGAUCACCCACACUGGGACUGAGACACGGCCCACACUCCUACGGGAGGCAGCACUGGGGAAUAUUGCACAAUGGGGGAAACCCUGAUGCACCCAUGCCCCGUGUGUGAAAAAAGCCUUCUGGUUGUAAAGCACUUUCUUUGGUGAGGAAAGCCGUAAUAUUAAUACUCUUGCGGAUUGACAUUAACCACACAAAAAACACCGGCUAACUCCGUGCCCCCCCC
rnacentral:rRNA from 1 species